ACUCGCCACUUCUGAAAAAGCAAGAACAUCCCCAGAAGGAUGAGGACAGCCUUCCCACAGGCACUCAGUGCAGACACCCCCCCGCCAGCUCUGCAGCCCCCACACUCACCGGUGUUUAGCCAUGUGAGCAGGUCAUCCAUGUCCGGGAUGUUGUCCGGGGUCUCUGUGUUGGAUGCUGCUUCUGGAAACGGAAGAAAGUCCCCGCAGGGGUAACACCAGCUUUCCCACACCCACUGAGAGCAGACAACCCCCGCCAGCUCUGCUGCCCCAAAACUCACCAUUAUUCAUCCAAGUCAGGAGCUCAUCCAUGUCUGGCAUGUCAUCCUGGACAUCCUCUGGGACCUCUGUUUUGGGUGCCACUUCUGGAAGAGGAAGAAAACCGCCACGGGGGUCAGGGGGUCAUUGAUGUCAGUGAUGUCCUCCUGGAUGUCUGGGCUCAUUGUCGCUGCUGGAAAAGCAAGAACACCCCCAGUGAGGCAAUGCCAUCUUUCCCACAGCCACCCGGUGCGGACAGCCUGCCGCCCGCUCUGCAGCCCCCAAACUCACCACCUGAUUCCAGCGCUGCGCUGCUGCAGGUGAGCGGAGCCUCGGUUGGACUUGGGCUCACCGGAGGUCCUCGGAGAACAGUUGAGGAGCCGGGGCGGUCGGGGCCCUGCAGCGGGCAGCUGCCUGCGGGCUGCGGGGGCUCCCCAUGGAACGCAGCCCCUUGCUGCAGCCCCGUCGGCUUCUGGGGCUGCUGUGUCCCUGCCACCAGAGGAUGAUCCCGGAGGUGGGCAGGGGCAGUGGGGGCAGGCAUACCUGGCUGCAUCUCACCAGGUAUGUGCAUGACCAGGGGCAACUGCUGCCCCCUAGGUGGCAGCUGACCUACAACUGUGGGCAUCCCCCCAGGUGGCAGCUGACCAACAUUUAGGGGCAUCCCCACAGCUGGGAACUGACCCACCAUUAAAGGCAGCCCCCCAGCUGGGAGCUGCACUCCCUGUCCCUGGACGUGUGAUAUCCCAGGCCAGACAGAGGCCUGAGGCACCACGUAGGUGACACUGGGGACAGGGAUGGGUUGGAAAGACACCGGCACAGCUGCGAUGCCGAAGGUGGGCUGCAUUGCAGCAAUGGCCGGUGGUGGCACAAACGAUCCAGAUAACACAGCGUCGGGUGUCAGAAGCACCGUCAGCAACCGUGAAGGAAUUCUCUCUGUGGAGAAAUGCCCAGAUGGGCGCUGGGUGAGAUCUGGGGCACUGGCAUCCCCUGGAGGGCCGCCGUGCCAGGAGCAGAGGGAGCCUGCUGCCUUACCUGCCAAGGUAGCUCGAGAGUGGCAGUGGGGGGUUCCGUGACCGCUGGGGUCAGCCCCUCUCUGCUGAGCUCACAGUGCGCCUCUCUGACAAUGGUCCCAUGGUGACACAGGCAUUGCUCUGUGCCUGCCCCAUCACCAGCACAUGCUGCAGCAUGGAACAAGUGUGGGGAGCUAUGGCCUGUCUCAUACUCCUCCUCUUGAUGGCUGUAACUUACUUUAAUGACUGUGCUGCUCUGUGGCCAGCACCAGCAGCAGGUGGGUGAGCAAAAGUGAGUGGCAUGGGGGGCAAGAAGUCAGGCUGUGUCCCUACGGCUAGAUGGCAGGCUGCCCUGGGGCUGUCCUUGCAUGGGGGACGUGCUGGGCAGGGGAAGGUGGCCAGCACCCAGUUCCCAACACAGGGUCCCCCUCGGCCCCCAGCAAAAGGGAAGAGCCAGGCACGUUUUCCUCCUGUGCUGUGGUUUCACAUUCCGGGCUGAAAGGUGUUGGAGAUUCUUGGCCUUUUUUCAGCGCUGCAUUUGAGAUGCUCAGCUCUUGCCCACUGCAGCACUGCCUUUUGGGGAUGUCCCUGCCAUACCAUUCUUCCUGAAGUGGUUUUGAUGGCUCAGUGAGUACCUUUCUCAGAGCACAGCCAAGCAUAUCUGCUGCUUUGGCUUCAUCCAGAGGGAGCCAGGAGCAUUCGUAGGGGUUUGCCAGCCUUGUAUUAUCAAAGCUGUGAGCAACUUGCUCCGAGUGGAUGUUGACUGUUCUUUGAGCAUUGGGUUGCACUGGAAACCAAUGGUGCCUUUCCUCUUGAAGGUUUUAUGAUUUAGGACUUACUGUCUUCUCUUUGGAUUGACCAGAUCUUGCUGUUCAAGUGCUGGAUUCGCCUUGUGUAACCAUCUCCUGGUGGACAGAUUAAUACUUGCGAAGCAGUUUUCAUCAUCUGCUCUUGAUUUAUGUUUGCAGCCUGUGCCAUCACUCUGAGUUCCGUCUCUUCUGGCUCUUGACUACAUCAGACUUUGAUGCUGAGGAAGGCUGGUAGCAUCCUGCACUUAGCUGGCCUUAAUUCUUGAGCCUGGUGGCACUCUGCUGUGACUGGAGAAGCUCCUGGCCUAAGCCGAGAACAUCAGUGAUAAAAGUGUGGUAGUCGUGUACCUGAAGGUUCCUCUUUGAGGUUCUUCUCCAAGGCCUGUAGCAAAUGGAGGCAGACGCAACGAGUGAAGCAGUCGGAAGAACAGUUCAGACUUUAGGUCAACACGGAAUGAAAAAGUAAAAAAGAGAGGUGGAUGUGUGUAAGCUGUUCAGACAUUGCACGCAAUCAGUUUUCAUCUGCGGCUCUUUAAAUAAACGGCAGCCAAAUUUGGAACCCGUGUUUGUUCAGAUGUCGUGGAUGCAGGGGGAAUUCUUUCCGAGCCUCACCCCACAAAGCAUCAUCUUUGCAGGUAGGUUUACAUCAAGUGAAUGGGCUGGAGCCGAGCUGCACAGUGCAGGUUCGUCAACCACGGCAGCAGCUGUGUGUGAUGGGGCAUCCUGGUGGGUUCAUGUGUAAGGCUGGCACUCAUUUCAUUCUUGACUCUUUUGUACCCAUUUGUAAUUUUUAUUAUUUU